GAGGAUGUAGCUUAAUGGUAGAGUACUUAUCUAGCAAGCAUGAGAAACAUAGGUUCAAUCUCUAACGUACUCC
rnacentral:tRNA from 1 species